CUUUGAGACGCUUGCAGUAAGUCAAAGGAUGUGUGUGUUGCGCUGGGACACAUAAGGUGAUGGUUUAUGAAGCAGAGAAACAAAACUGCUCAUGAGAAUGAACUCAAUUUCAUUCAGGAAUGAAGAGAAUCCCACCUUUUACUUCCCAGGACUUCUGAACACUCCAAAGCGAGGCCAAGCUCUGAUUUGUUAAGAGGAAUACUCUUCCUCCACUACCAGCACAGGACCACAAUUAUUAAAGGGUACUGAAACUGGUGGACACUGCUCUCCUUGUUUACAUGCAGGGAAAGAAGGCACCACCAGCCUGCUGCCACUGCGCCUUCACACACAAAGCCUGCAAAGAAGCAAGGAGAAAAGUCUCCCAAGUGGGGGCCAGGGGUGAUAAACUGCUCUCCCAACAUCCACAGCUCCAGGAAGACAAGGAAAAAAUAACCACUAAGUAGCCUUAAACCUGGCAAUUUUUACUAUCCAGCUGAUGAGCUGGAUCUACUGUUUAUACACCAGGAUAUUAUAUUUCACAUCCAAACAAAGCACCUCAACCUUCUCCAACCAUGCUGGUCACAACUGAAGUGAGAAGUACAACUCACCCCUCCAUGUCAGGCAGACACUGAAGCUCUCAGAUUAUUCAGAGUUCUAACCCUCUUUAACCCCUGACUAUAUACCAUCACCUAAAAUUACCAAAGGGGGAAAAAUGGUUGUAAAGACAAGCAUGACUAUUUUUCGGUGCUCUUUGGAAGUACAUGUGUUUGGUAUUUAUGAUUUAAUUUAAUUCUGGUUUCCACAUGAGCAUAUUACAGAUGACACUUCCAGGGCUUUUCUUCCUUUGUAAGUUAAGUUUUACAACCUUAUUUUGAAGCUUUUUCUUUUAUCCUCCAUUUUUCACUACUACAGGGUUCCUUUUCCUAUUCCUUUUAAAAUCAUCCUUUAUCUUACCAUCAUAAACAGCACACAGAAUACAGGGUCAGCAUUCCUUUCAUAGAGUCACUACAUUAAAAAUGAAAAACCCAGCCAUCAAAGAUGUCCUAACCAACAAGUCACUCUCCACCCAAUAAUUGCACUGCCUGGUAAUCAAAAAUGUAAAUUAACAUUAAAAAAAAAAGAGAAAUAUUCCUAACUGCAGUCAGAGAAUCUCUGGGGAAGGAAGCAUUCAUAGGUAAAGGUGACAUUAUCUAAGUUUAUCUUAUUUGAGCUAGAGAUGAGUCCCUCUGCCUCCAAGUCAGAAUUCAGCAUGGGUUAAACUAGGAACGUUUUUUCUUUUUCUCUUGGGUUGUUUUUUUGUUGGGUUUUUCGUGGACAUUUGGGUGGUUUUUUGUUGUUGCUGUUUCUAGGGGUUGGACAGGAGACAAGCAGCACAAGUGGAAACGUUCCAGUCUGUAGCAGAAAUCUGGUAACAACAGGUGAUAAAAACCUGGAAGUGUGUUAAGAUGUUUUUCUGGCAUUAUCUAUGGGUUCAACAGAGCAUUUUUCUUUGCUCUACAAACUUUGCAUUUUGUUAGACUGUAACACCUCCUGUGUGUGCAUGCAAGUUAAUCUCACCUCAUUUUUUAAUGAAGGCUACAGCUGAAUUUAAGUUUAAUUACCACUUGCAUUAAAACAGGUGAAGCAGUUCCUUCUGAAGGGAGACACCCACUGGUCUUCAAGGAGAAACAAUUACCAAGUACCAAUUACAAAAGCACAAGCUAGAUAACUGUCAGGAUGAUCAGCCUUUUUAAAUUCAGAUUUUUCUUUUUAGAGUGAAACUUACAUCAUCAUUUAAUCACAGCAUUCAAAUGGGAAGUGGUGCAUGUUUAUUUGAAGGGAUGAAUAAACAACUGUGCUACAAGGUAUCACCAGCUGAGCACCUGGAACCACUGCAACCAAAGUCUGCUGAAAUCUAACAGACCUUCUGGAAGGCAAUAAAAAAACAUUUUGGGGAAAGAAACGAAAAAGAAGUGUAAAUACUGAAACAAAAUAAACUAGAGACUGGUUGAUACUGAGGAAUAAAUAUGUCUUCUUGCUUUAACCAAGAGAGAUUUACAACAUGAAAGUGUAAACUCAACCUAGCCCACACACUGCUACAGCGAUUUAUGAUCCAUAAACUGUAACAACUGUCAAAUACUUAUCCUCUGUAGCCUCAACAUUCAAAAUGCCCGGUAUAUUCUGUGUUCAGCAGGCUUUCUCACUGCCCAACCUGAGAUGCCUCACUUUAUUCUGAGUAGGAGAACAGCUCCUCAGCUUACCAGAACCUGCCACAAUCUUAUGGGCUCUCAUGUGUGCCAGCAAACUGGUCAGGCUGGAAGAGUCCUGCCAAAUAACUGGACACCACCUUGCUUACUCUGGAUCAAAUUCUAAGCACUUCCUUCUUCCCAAGCCCGUCCCUGGGACGGCUGAGCCUCCCUAACACUGAGGGAGAGGAAAGCUCCUCAUUAAACCAGCGCCCUCGCCGCCCUCUGCACAAGCUCUGCCGGCCGCAGGAGCCCCUUCCUGCCGAGC